rnacentral:rRNA from 1 species
CGCAGCCGCGGUAAUUCCAGCUCCAAUAGCGUAUAUUAAAGUUGUUGCAGUUAAAAAGCUCGUAGUUGAAUUUCGGGGUUCUUCCGUUGGUCGGGCUAUCCAGUCUGUACUAGCGUGUAGAAUUCCUACCUUCUGGGGAACCAUCAUGUUAUUAAUUUAGCGUGGUGGGAAACCAGGACCUUUACCUUGAAAAAAUUAGAGUGUUCAAAGCAGGCUUACGUCUGAAUACAUUAGCAUGGAAUAAUAGAAUAGGACGGUGGUCCUGUUUUGUUGGUUUCUGAAUCACCGUAAUGAUUAAUAGGGAUAGUUGGGGGCAUUAGUAUUCAAUUGUCAGAGGUGAAAUUCUUGGAUUUAUUGAAGACUAACUUCUGCGAAGGCAUUUGCCAAGGAUGUUUUCAUUAAUCAAGAACGAAAGUUAGGGGAUCGAAGACGAUCAGAUACCGUCGUAGUCUUAACCAUAAACUAUGCCGACUAGGGAUCGGACGAUGUUAAAUUUAUUGACUCGUUCGGCGCCUUACGG